GCCCGCGGCGAUAGCACGUCGUUUGCACCAGUUCACAAAGGAGCACUGCAGUUAAGCUACGUCGCGCUUGGUUAGUUUCUGGAUGGGUGACCAUCUGGACUCUCGCCUGCUGCUGGUC
rfam:Asian citrus Psyllid, Diaphorina citri - Florida Strain, whole genome shotgun sequence.